UACGUAGGGUGCGAGCGUUAAUCGGAAUUACUGGGCGUAAAGCGUGCGCAGGCGGGCUUUUAAGCCAGACGUGAAAUCCCCGGGCUUAACCUGGGAAUGGCGUUUGGGACUGGAAGUCUGGAGUGCGGCAGAGGAGACUGGAAUUCCUGGUGUAGCAGUGAAAUGCGUAGAUAUCAUGAGGAAGACCAGUGGCGAAGGCGGGUCUCUGGACAGUUCCUGACACUGAGACACGAAGGCCAGGGGAGCAAACGGG
rnacentral:rRNA from 1 species